GCAUAUCAAUAAGCGGAGGAAAAGAAACCAACAGGGAUUGCCCUAGUAACGGCGAAGUGAAGCGGCAACAGCUCAAAUUUGAAAUCUGGCGUCUUUGGCGUCCGAGUUGUAAUUUGCAGAGGGCGCUUUGGCAUUGGCAGCGGUCCAAGUUCCUUGGAACAGGACGUCACAGAGGGUGAGAAUCCCGUACGUGGUCGCUAGCCUUUACCGUGUAAAGCCCCUUCGACGAGUCGAGUUGUUUGGGAAUGCAGCUCUAAAUGGGAGGUAAAUUUCUUCUAAAGCUAAAUACUGGCCAGAGACCGAUAGCGCACAAGUAGAGUGAUCGAAAGAUGAAAAGCACUUUGGAAAGAGAGUUAAAAAGCACGUGAAAUUGUUGAAAGGGAAGCGCUUGCAGCCAGACUUGCCUGUAGUUGCUCAUCCGGGUUUUUACCCGGUGCACUCUUCUAUAGGCAGGCCAGCAUCAGUUUGGGCGGUUGGAUAAAGGUCUCUGUCACGUACCUCCUCUCGGGGAGAACUUAUAGGGGAGACGUAAUGCAACCAGCCUGGACUGAGGUCCGCGCAUCUGCUAGGAUGCUGGCGUAAUGGCUGUAAGCGGCCCGUCUUGAAACACGGACCAAGGAGUCUAACAUCUAUGCGAGUGUUUGGGUGUCAAGCCCGAGCGCGUAAUGAAAGUGAACGGAGGUGGGAACCUUUCGGGGUGCACCAUCGACCGAUCCUGAUGUCUUCGGAUGGAUUUGAGUAAGAGCAUAGCUGUUGGGACCCGAAAGAUGGUGAACUAUGCUUGAAUAGGGUGAAGCCAGAGGAAACUCUGGUGGAGGCUCGCAGCGGUUCUGACGUGCAAAUCGAUCGUCAAAUUUGGGCAUAGGGGCGAAAGACUAAUCGAACUAUCUAGUAGCUGGUCUGCGA
rnacentral:rRNA from 1 species